CUGGUCAACCUCCUUGUCUCCACACUGGCUUUGCAGACUGAGCCAAACUGCCCUUCCCCCUUAUGGUUGUAGGUUUCGAAGCUGAGGAGUAAGGAACAUCGCUAAGUUGGCCCUUUCUGAGAGCACACACCUAAAAAUGAAGUCAAAACAGGCUCACCACCAGCCAAAGGACAUAAGACAUAUGUGUGCAUGCUCCACAUCUCUCCAGGUGUUCAUUCUGCCCACUGGAGAAGCCCUGCUUUCUAACCCAGUGCCCCAAAGGAGCCCAGGACUCUCAUCGCCUCCCUACCAUGCAGCUGGAAUCCCUGGGAGACAUCUCAAACACAACCUCCUCAUGCAACCUUCCUACUAAGUCCCUUCCCACCUUGUCCAGCCAUGACGGCAUCAUCCCCUAAUGUACACCGUUGCUCCUUCCUCUAAGCAACCAGCCAUCUGGUUAACUUACCUUACCGAAGUGUCUAUUGCGAUAAGCCUUGUGGGUUUGCACCUUGCAAUCAUGUGUACUUUAUAUGUAUAUAUACCUUACAGUCAUACAUACUUAUGUAUGACUGCAUUCACUGCUUGAGCUGUUAGGGCUCCUGUCUUAAUUAACACCCCUUUGUUCCCCCAGACUAUAGCCUUCUAAGAGAAAUUACAAUAGCACCACACGGGACCCCUCUAUGGAUGAGGAGCUGAACACCCAUGUGUUCAGGAAGUGUGAUGAAGAAAAGUCUACUCAAUAUGUGUCAGCUCCCAAAAGCUGCCUUCUCCAUCCGGGCCCCUAGAGAGGGUGGUGCUGACUACUCCAUUAGCUCUCACAACCACCACAUGGGGUAAGAGUGUUCUGCCCAUUUCCCAGAGGAGGAAACUGACUCAGAGACGUUAAGGAGCAUGCCCAAGGUCACACAGCUAGAGGGACAGGAUGGACUGUGCUUAGUCAACACCAGCAAAUGGCCGCUGUGUAGACCCACAAGCUUGGUCAGAAAUUGGUUAUAGCUCCAUUUACAAGGUAGAGAACUUAGAGGUAGGAUUUAGGGGUGUGAAGAAGGGCUACUUCAAAAGAACAAAUGCCAUUCCAGAUUUUUCAAGUUUGUUGGUUGGUUGGUUUUCUGGUGCUCCUGGGGUUUGAACCCAGGGUCUUGCACAUGCUAUGCAAGAGCUAC